UCCUACGGGAGGCAGCAGUGAGGAAUCUUCCACAAUGGGGGAAACCCUGAUGGAGCAACGCCGCGUGCAGGAUGAAGGCCUUCGGGUUGUAAACUGCUUUUAUAAGUGAAGAAUAUGACGGUAACUUAUGAAUAAGCACCGGCUAACUACGUGCCAGCAGCCGCGGUAAU
rnacentral:rRNA from 1 species